CGCGGGGUAGAGCAGUUGGUAGCUCGUCGGGCUCAUAACCCGGAGGUCGCUGGUUCAAGUCCAGCCCCCGCUACCA
rnacentral:tRNA from 1 species